rnacentral:rRNA from 1 species
UACGGAGGGGGCUAGCGUUGUUCGGAAUCACUGGGCGUAAAGCGUCUGUAGGUGGUCAAAUAAGUCAACUGUUAAAUCUUGAGGCUCAACCUCAAAAUCGCAGUCGAAACUAUUAGACUAGAGUAUAGUAGGGGUAAAGGGAAUUUCCAGUGGAGCGGUGAAAUGCGUAGAGAUUGGAAAGAACACCGAUGGCGAAGGCACUUUACUGGGCUAUUACUAACACUCAGAGACGAAAGCUAGGGUAGCAAAUGGG